CCUACGGGAGGCAGCAGUGAGGAAUAUUGGUCAAUGGGCGGGAGCCUGAACCAGCCAAGUCGCGUGAGGGAAGACGGUCCUACGGAUUGUAAACCUCUUUUGCCGGGGAGCAACGGGGUCCUUGCGAGGGCCCGAUGAGAGUACCCGGAGAAAAAGCAUCGGCUAACUCGGUGCCAGCAGCCGCGGUAUUACGGAGGAUGCGAGCGUUAUCCGGAGUUAGUGGGUUAAAAGGGUGAGUAGGCGGGCUGUUAAGUCAGCGGUAAAAUGUUGGGGCUCAACCCAGGCCUGCCGUUGAAACUGGCGGCCUCGAGUGGGCGAGAAGUAUGCGGAAUGCGUGGUGGAGCGGUGAAAUGCAUAGAUAGCACGCAGAACUCCGAUUGCGAAGGCAGCAUACCGGCGCCCGACUGACGCUGAGGCACGAAAGCGUGGGUAUCGAACAGGAUUAGAUACCCCAGUAGUC
rnacentral:rRNA from 1 species